GCCUUAGGAGGACAUGCUAAAGAAUGCAAAUAAUCAAGGAACAACCAUCCUCCAUAAUCUGAAGGUAGAUUAUACUUUGGGAGAUUUCGAGGUAAUUUUAUGGAGCUACACAUAUUGGUGGUUGUUUAGGGGAGUUAACGGGCUCUCAUAUUCAUCGCUUUUCAUGGAGAAGGUAUAUAUCCGAC